rnacentral:misc_RNA from 1 species
AAGUCGUAACAAGGUAACCGUAGGUGAACCUGCGGUUGGAUCAUUAAUGAAUUAUUAACUGAUCGUCUUUCCCGAUUCUUUCGGGGGAGCUUUCUUUUAACACUUUGUGCACUUUAAUAUUGUAAUAUUGUCUUUUGGUGGGAGGGUUCGUUUUAACUAAGGAGAAUUAUCUUCUUUUUUUUUUAUUGACCCACCCCACCAGCUGACGACCCUUUAUAAACUUUUUUAUUAUAUAUUGCUUUUGAGUCUGAAAACAAAAAAAAGAAAUUUUAUUAUUCAAAUUUUAAAACAACUUUUGACAACGGAUCUCUAGGCUCUCA